GAAACUCCAGGCAAUGCGGAAGGAUUUGGCACGCGCUCUGCGCGCGGCGCCCGUCAGCGUCUCAUCAGCUGUUCCUGCUGCACCGGAAAGCGCUCCUGUCGCUGCUCAGUCGAGUCAAGCUCACGUUCCUGUCGUCGCUCAGUCAAGUCAAGCUCACGUUCCUGUCGUCACUCAGUCAAGCCAAGCUCACGUUCCUGUCGUCACUCAGUCAAGCCAAGCUCACGUUCCUGUCGUCGCUCAGUCAAGCCAAGCUCCGUUCCUGUCGUCGCUCAGUCAAGCCAAGCUCACGUCCCUGUCGCUGCUCAGUCGGACCAAGCUCACGUUCCUGUCGCUGCUCAGUCGAACCAAGCUCACGUUCCUGUCGCUGCUCAGUCGAACCAAGCUCACGUUCCUGUCGCCGCUCAGUCGAGUCAAACUCACUCCCCUGUUGCCGCUCAGGCAGAUCCAGCUCCCGUUCCAGACACCAGCUCAUCGGUCCCAGUCCAUGCCCACGUUACCGCCAUAGUUCCCGAGUCCAAUUCCGCCCGUACCGUGGCCCCAGCCCCUGCUUCAGCCCUGGCAGUUGAGAAGCCCACAGCUAGCCGUCGGAGGUCCAGACGGCGUCGACGACAGCCGGUUUCCCCUGUCCAGGCUCCAGAAGACUCGGUCACGGAAAUCAGACUGCCUCCUUCGCCAGCAGAGGGCACUCUCGCCCCAUCGGACGACAUACCCACCUCCAUCGCAGGCAUCCCGGACAGCAUCCUCCAACGGAUCCGUGCCCAAUGCACCCCUCCAGUCCUGUUCCUGUUUGCGCACUGUCUGAACUCCGCCGAGGCAGAGACCGACCCGGUAAUCAAGGAGCGUCGCUUCCGUGAAGCCGCCCUGCUCAUCGCUCGGAAGCCUGCGCUGCGCGAGGCCCUGGGUUUCAUUGAACCCCCAUCAGAGCCUGCACCCGUUCCUGCAUCAGAGCCUGCACCCCUUCCUGCAUCAGAGCCUGCACCCCUUCCUGCAUCAGAGCCUGCACCCGCUCCAGCGUCUAAGCCUGCACUCCUGGCCCCAGCGUCUAAGCCUGCAUCCCUGGCCCCAGCGUCUAAGCCUGCAUCCCUGGCCCCAGCGUCUAAGCCUGCAUCCCUGGCCCCAGCGUCUCUGGCUGCAUCACUGGCCCCAGCGUCUCUGGCUGCAUCACUGGCCCCAGCGUCCCUGGCUGCAUCACUGGCCCCAGCGUCCCUGGCUGCAUCACUGGCCCCAGCGUCCCUGGCUGCAUCACUGGCCCCAGCGUCCCUGGCUAUAUCACUGGCUGCAGCAACUUCCGCCCUAGCCUCACCUCAGCCAUGCCAAGCUCCAGCUCCAGCUCACGCCUCACCUCAGCCAUGCCAAGCUCCAGCUCCAGCUCACGCCUCACCUCAGCCAUGCCAAGCUCCAGCUCCAGCUCACGCCUCACCUCAGCCAUGCCAAGCUCCAGCUCCAGCUCACGCCUCACCUCAGCCAUGCCAAGCUCAAGCCCCAGCUCAGCCUGCAGCAGCUCAAGCCUCAGCUCAGCCUGCAGCAGCUCAAGCCUCAGCUCAGCCUGCAGCAGCUCAAGCCUCAGCUCAGCCUGCAGCAGCUCAAGCCUCAGCUCAGCCUGCAGCAGCUCAAGCCUCAGCUCAGCCUGCUCAAGCUCAAGCCUUGGCUCCGCCACGCCAAGUUCAAGCUCCAUCUUUACGCCAGCUAGCAGGCACCCCUGGCCAGUCACACCAGGCCUCAGUUCCUGUUCCUGUCGGCCAUAUUGAGGCCGUUCCUGUUCCUGUCGGCCAAGUAGAGGUCGUUCCUGUUCCUGUCGGCCAUAUUGAGGCCGUUCCAGUCCCUGUUCCCGUCGGCCAUAUUGAGGCCGUUCUAGUUCCUGUCGGCUCCUCGGAGGAGGACGCCGUUCUAGUUCCUGUCGGCUCCUCUGAGGAGGACGCCGUUCUAGUUCCUGUCGGCUCCUCGGAGGAGGACGCCGUUCUAGUCCCUGUCGGCGCCUCGGAGGAGGACGCCGUUCUAGUUCCUGCCACUGUCGGCUCCUCGGAGGCCGCAGUUCCCGACGAUCCCCAGGUGGGGGUCGCUCCCGCCGCAGCACCUGUGGCAGCCCCUGCCGACCUCCCGGAGGAGGUCGGUCCAGCUCUGUCUCCUGCCGACCUCCCGGAGGAGGUCGGUCCAGCUCUGUCUCCUGCCGACCUCCCGGAGGAGGUCGGUCCAGCUCUGUCUCCUGCCGACCUCCCGGAGGAGGUGGUCGGCCCGCUCCUGGUCCCUGUGGUUUUUGUGCCAAUGUGUGCAGGUGCAGCUCCUGGUGGUCCGGUCCCGGACACGCCCGUCGCAGCCCCUGGGGGUCCGGUCCCGGCCACGCUCGUCUCUGCUCCUGGCGGUCCGGUCCCGGACACAUUCGCCUCAGCUCCUGGUGGUCCGGCCCCGGACACGUUCGCCUCAGCUCCUGGUGGUCCGGCCCCGGACACGUUCGCCUCAGCUCCUGGUGGUCCGGCCCCGGACACGUUUGCCUCAGCUCCUGGUGGUCCGGUCCCGGACACGUCUGUCUCCGCUCCUGGAGGCCCGGUGCCGGCCACGUCUCCACGUCUGUCUUCGCCUCUGGUUCCUGCCUCGUCUCCACGUCUGUCUUCGCCUCUGGUUCCUGCCUCGUCUCCACGUCUGUCUUCGCCUCUGGUUCCUGCCUCGUCUCCACGUCUGUCUUCGCCUCUGGUCCCUGCCUCGUCUCCACGUCUGUCUUCGCCUCUGGUCCCUGCCCCGUCUCCACGUCUGUCCUCGUCUCUGGUCCCAGCCUCGUCUCCACGUCUGUCCCCGUCGCCGUUCCCGGCUUCCCGCCGGCUCUCGCCUCACCUGCUGGACGGAGGGCCAGGUCCUUGGCGAAUCCUGUGGCAGGGAUGGCACUGCCUCGUGCGUCGUCGGCCACCUCGGCUGGCCGGUUCCGGAGGCGACCACCUACCGGGAGGUCGCUGUUUCCUGCCCCGACGAUGGCGCGGUCUCUGCCAUUGCCGACCGCCGCGCCUUCUCAGUUCCCUGGAGCACCCCCGGUCGGGAGAGCACCGGCGCAUGUGCUUGGCCACAGGAGGCGUCUUGUUCCGACGCCAGCCUCCUAGGACUCCAGCCUUGCCCUCGGGCACAAGAUGUGCCGUCUCGGCCUGGCGGCUGCCCGGCCGGGACUCUCCUCGCAUCCACCCUCCGUGA
rnacentral:lncRNA from 1 species